rnacentral:snRNA from 1 species
GGCUGUGAGGGCGAUCUGGCUGCGACAUCUGUCACCACAUUGAUCACCAGGGUCGAUCCAGCUGAUCUGGCUGGCUAGGUGUAUGUCCCCUUCCUCCCUCAAUGCUCCAUGUGCAUCCCUCCAGAAGCUGCACACUUGGUCAAGGACGACGACCAUCCCUCAUAGAGGAGGACCGGUCUUUGGUCAAGGGUAUACGAAUAGCUGUGCUCCCGUUAGAACCUCCCAACAAGAUCUCAAAAUAAGAAACAACUAAGGGAAAGUCACCAAAAUACAUCUUCUUAAAAGUCAUGUAGACUACUUUACAGA